UGGUGGGCCGUUCUGUGAGGUGAAUCUGAACGACUGCAAGUCGAUGCCGUGCCAGAACGGAGCUGUGUGUGUGGACGGUGUUGACCUGUAUCACUGCUUCUGUCCAGCUGGGUUUGAGGGGCUGAACUGUGAAAUCAACUAUGAUGAAUGUGUCUAUGGAUUCUGCGCCAACAAUUCCACAUGUGUUGACCUGGUUGCCGACUAUGGAUGCAUCUGCCCAGUGGGGUUUGUUGGUAAAAACUGCUCUACACCUGUUAUUGAAUGUGCGUCAGGGGAUAGGACAAAAUGCAAAAAUGGUGGCACCUGUUAUAUCUUUGCCGGAGUGGUUCACUGCACUUGUCC